rnacentral:tRNA from 2 species
GGGCCGGUAGCUCAGCUCGGAAGAGCGCCCGGUUGGCAUCCGGGAGGUCCCGGGUUCAAAUCCCGGCCGGUCCACCA